rnacentral:tRNA from 1 species
AAGAAAGUAGCAUAGACGGUCUAUGCGGUUGGCUUGAAACUAACAUAAGAGGGUUCGAUUCCUUCCUUUCUUG